CCUCUUUGCUUUGUUCCAGGUGAAGAUACCCACACCAGACUUCUUGGAAAAGCUAAGGACUUCAACAUUGGGCUGGACAAGUACUCUUUGGAACUUGACAAGACUUAUCUCACACUGUCAAGUCACAGAACCACGGCCAUCCACAACAGAAGUAACAUCACAGCCCAAUUCCAGUGGAAGGCUUUUGCUACUGAGGCAGAGGAGUAUCCGCAGAAGAUCAGGCUGUGUCACAAUCUGUCUCGGCCACCCCAGGAGAUAGCAAAGGCUUUUGUGAUGAAGCGCUAUGAGGAGCUUGACCUGUACGACCGCGAGUUGGAGAAGGAGACAGCAAAGAUUCAAGCAGACCCCAUGCUGUUCUCAGAUGAUGUUUUCACCAUUGAGCCCUUGGAAGGAGAGGUUGGGCCACACUGUUCAGCUGAAAUCAAGGUGUUCUUUAAACCCCGAGAAGCCCAAGUCUAUAGAAAAGUGGCCUACUGUUCCAUCUCAGGUAUGGCUCCUUCUCCUCUUUCUC